CCGGUUUCCGCCAGACGCCCUCUGCUUAUGCACCGCUUCCGCCGCUCGCUGCGCAUGCGUCAGGACGAGGCGCGCCGGGCGGUUCGGGAAAAGGGGUGAGUGUAUGCGCGCGCGUGCGUGCGUCAUGUGGUCUCUUCCCUGUCCACGGAUUGGGUGAGGUUUCGUCCGCAGACGACAUAAUGGUUAUUUGUGAAGAGGGAGCUCAUUUAGCUUCGGAGCGGGCUUCCGGGUGCGCUUGGUGCCAUUUCCCUCCCCAAAGCCUUAAGCGGGUUGAAGUUCUCAAAUGAGGGGCGUCAUCUCAGCUUUUGAGUUUUAAAAGGGGAAACGGGGUUUGCACGCGAAUCUCCCGCCAGCCCUCGAGGGAGACACUCUUAACCUAAGGGUCCUGGGUUCGAGUCCUACGUUAGGCAAAAAAAAUUGGGGUUGGACUAGAUGACCCUUGGAAACAGUGCCAGAUUUACGUAUAAGCUAAACAAGCUAUAGCUUAGGGCCCCAUUCUCUUGGGGCCCCCAAAAAUGUAAAGGGAAAAAACCUGGAUGUACAUUUCCAAAUUAUAAGAUAAACAACAAAUAAAAUAAAUAAAACCUACAUACAGCAACAGUGUUUGGUGUUGUGUAGGCGGGAUGCGGGUGGCGCUGUGGGUUAAACCACAGAGCCUAGGACUUGCUGAUAAGAGGGUCGACGGUUCGAAUCCCCACGACGGGGUGAGCUCCCGUUGCUCGGUCCCUGCUCCUGCCAACCUAGCAGUUCGAAAGCACGUCAAAGUGCAAGUAGAUAAAUAGGUACCGCUCCGGCGGGAAGGUAAACGGCGUUUCCAUGCGCUGCUCGGGUUCGCCAGAAGCGGCUUAGUCAUGCUGGCCACACGACCCGGAAGAUGUACGCCGGCUCCCUCGGCCAAUAAAGCGAGAUGAGCGCCACAACCCCAGAGUCGGCCACGACUGGACCUAAUGGUCAGGGGUCCCUUUACCCUUUACCUUUACCUAGGCUCCUAUGAUGUAAGUCAUGGGCCCCACCUGCUAGCCUGCUCCCUAAAAUAUCACUGGUUUGCUAUCGUGAUUUCGUCCUUUGAAACCUAACUGCUACCUGAGCUCCUGUAACCAGAGAUUGACUGCAGGAUUUCAUAUUACAUGCUCUCUAAAAUCCUUCCUGCCUCCCCUCUUCCUCAGCAAUCUUCUAUGGCGAUAUCUACUAGUGCUGUGGCUUAAAAUGGAUCCCACAUGAUUUCUGAUCGUCGUUCGCGAAUUCACGAGAAAGAAAACGCACGAGAAAAUGAUCAAGGAUAUUCUUGAGUGCCCCCGAGAAUGAGGCGGGAAAAAAUGGAAGGCUCAUUUGCAAGGGAAGAAAACCUUUGAGAAGUUGAAGCUUUCAGCACGGCGCUAGGAACCUCAUAUGGUUUGGAUUUGUGAAAGUUGGCUGUGCGAUGGUGUCCCAUAAAAGUCAGGAAUAC